CGUCUAGGCGGGGGAUUAAGUUGGGUGUGAAAGCCUUGGGCUUAACUCGAGAAUUGCACCCAAAACUGAUUCUCUUGAGUUCGGGAGAGGAGAGCGGAAUUCCCGGUGUAGCGGUGAAAUGCGUAGAUAUCGGGAAGAACACCAGUGGCGAAGGCGGCUCUCUGGCCUAGAACUGACGCUGAAGCGCGAAAGCGUGGGGAGCGAACG
rnacentral:rRNA from 1 species